rnacentral:rRNA from 1 species
GAUGAACGCUGGCGGCGUGCCUAAUACAUGCAAGUCGAGCGAACGGACGAGAAGCUUGCUUCUCUGAUGUUAGCGGCGGACGGGUGAGUAACACGUGGAUAACCUACCUAUAAGACUGGGAUAACUUCGGGAAACCGUAGCUAAUACCGGAUAAUAUUUUGAACCGCAUGGUUCAAAAGUGAAAGACGGUCUUGCUGUCACUUAUAGAUGGAUCCGCGCUGCAUUAGCUAGUUGGUAAGGUAACGGCUUACCAAGGCAACGAUGCAUAGCCGACCUGAGAGGGUGAUCGGCCACACUGGAACUGAGACACGGACCAGACUCCUACGAGAGGCAGCAGUAGGGAAUCUUCCGCAAUGGGCGAAAGCAUGACGGAGCAACGCCGAGUGAGUGAUGAAGGUCUUCGGAUCGUAAAACUCUGUUAUUAGGGAAGAACAUAUGUGUAAGUAACUGUGCACAUCUUGACGGUACCUAAUCAGAAAGCCACGGCUAACUACGUG